GACGAACGCUGGCGGCGUGCUUAACACAUGCAAGUCGAGCGGCGUGGCGAACGGGUGAGUAACGCGUGACUAACUGCCCCCCUCCCUGGGAUGACAGUUGGAAACGGCUGCUAAUACCGGAUAGUGGGGGAUGCCUCGCGUCCUAUCAGCUUGUUGGGGGGGUAGUGGCCUACCAAGGCGACGACGGGUAGCCGGCCUGAGAGGGGGACCGGCCUCCUUGUGCUGAGGGACGGCCCAAACUCCAACGGUGGGCAGCAGUGGGGACUUUUACGCAACGGGGGAAACCCUGAUGCGGCAACGCCGCGUGCGGAAUGACGGCCUUCGGAUUAUAAACCGCUUUCAGCGAUGACGCGUUAAUCGCAGAAGAAGCACCGGCUAACUACGUGCCAGCAGCCGCGGUAAUUC
rnacentral:rRNA from 1 species